rnacentral:rRNA from 1 species
UACGAAGGGUGCAAGCGUUAUCCGGAUUCACUGGGUUUAAAGGGUGCGUAGGUGGGUUGGUAAGUCAGUGGUGAAAUCCCCGAGCUUAACUUGGGAACUGCCAUUGAUACUAUCAGUCUUGAAUAUUGUGGAGGUUAGCGGAAUAUGUCAUGUAGCGGUGAAAUGCUUAGAUAUGACAUAGAACACCAAUUGCGAAGGCAGCUGGCUACGCAUAUAUUGACACUGAGGCACGAAAGCGUGGGGAUCAAACAGG